rnacentral:rRNA from 1 species
UACAGAGGUCCCAAGCGUUGUUCGGAUUCAUUGGGCGUAAAGGGUGCGUAGGUGGGUCUGUAAGUCCGUGGUGAAAUCUCCGAGCUUAACCUGGAAACUGCCAUGGAUACUAUAGAUCUUGAAUACUGUGGAGGUUAGCGGAAUAUGUCAUGUAGCGGUGAAAUGCUUAGAUAUGACAUAGAACACCAAUUGCGAAGGCAGCUGGCUACACAAAUAUUGACACUGAUGCACGAAAGCGUGGGGAUCAAACAGG